rnacentral:rRNA from 1 species
GGGAAUCUUCCACAAUGGGCGAAAGCCUGAUGGAGCAACGCCGCGUGAGUGAGGAAGGCUUUCGGGUCGUAAAGCUCUGUUGCCAGGGAAGAACGCUUGGGGGAGUAACUGCCCGCAAGGUGACGGUACCUGAGAAGAAAGCCCCGGCUAACUACGUGCCAGCAGCCGCGGUAAUACGUAGGGGGCAAGCGUUGUCCGGAAUUAUUGGGCGUAAAGCGCGCGCAGGCGGCUGCUUAGGUCUGGUGUAUAAGUGCGGGGCUCAACCCCGUGAGGCACUGGAAACUGGGCAGCUUGAGUGCAGAAGAGGAGAGCGGAAUUCCACGUGUAGCGGUGAAAUGCGUAGAUAUCAAGAGGAACACCUGAGGCGAAGGCGGGUUGCUGGGCCGACACUGACGCUGAUGCGCGAAAGCCAGGGGAGCAAACG